rnacentral:rRNA from 1 species
UGGGGAAUAUUGCACAAUGGGCGCAAGCCUGAUGCAGCCAUGCCGCGUGUAUGAAGAAGGCCUUCGGGUUGUAAAGUACUUUCAGCGGGGAGGAAGGGAGUAAAGUUAAUACCUUUGCUCAUUGACGUUACCCGCAGAAGAAGCACCGGCUAACUCCGUGCCAGCAGCCGCGGUAAUACGGAGGGUGCAAGCGUUAAUCGGAAUUACUGGGCGUAAAGCGCACGCAGGCGGUUGAUUGAGUCAGAUGUGAAAUCCCCGGGCUUAACCCGGGAAUUGCAUCUGAUACUGGUCAGCUAGGGUCUUGUAGAGGGGGGUAGAAUUCCAUGUGUAGCGGUGAAAUGCGUAGAGAUGUGGAGGAAUACCGGUGGCGAAGGCGGCCCCCUGGACAAAGACUGACGCUCAGGUGCGAAAGCGUGGGGAGCAAACAGG